CAGCUGGAGUGCAUUGUCGUUGGCUUUUUAAUCCGGAUGCGUUGAGGAUUUUACGUUUAGCAUGAAGGAGGGAUGCUAACUAUGGAGAAGAAGAUAUGUAUCACUGUUGUCAAGAGAGAAGCAGGUCGACGUGCGUCUUUCCGUCUGUCACAGUUUGUAGUUUGUAUAUUAAUUAAUUAGGAAUUAAUUAAUAUACAUGUAUUUUUGGUUUUAA